GCCGAGGUGCUGGAAUUGGUAGACAGGCUCGACUUAAAAUCGAGUGAUCGCAAGAUCGUGUGGGUUCGAGUCCCACCCCCGGCA
rnacentral:tRNA from 1 species